AGAGAGAACAGUCUAUGACUGGGGUGGCUGGGGUCUUUAACAAUUUUUAGGGCCUUCCUCUGACACCGCCUGGUGUAGAGGUCCUGGAUGGCAGGCAGCUUUGCCCCAGUGAUGUACUGGGCCGUACGCACUACCCUCUGAAGUGCCUUGCGGUCGGAGGCCGAGCAAUUGCCGUACCAGGCAGUGAUGUAACCGGUCAGGAUGCUCUCGAUGUUGCAGCUGUAGAACCUUUUGAGGAUCUCAGGACCCAUGCCAAAUCUUUUUAGUUUCCUGAGGGUGGAAUAGGCUUUGUCGUGCCCUCUUCACGACUGUCUUGGUGUGUUUGGACCAAUCUAGUUUGUUGUUGAUGUGGACACCAAGGAAUUUGAAGCUCUCAACCUGCUCCACUACAGCCCCGUCGAUGAGAAUGGGGAUGUGCUCGGUGCUCCUUUUCUUGUAGUCCACAAUCAUCUCCUUAGUCUUGGUUACGUUGAGGGAUAGGUUGUUAUUCUGGCACCACCCGGCCAGGUCUCUGAUCUCCUCCCUAUAGGCUGUCUUGUCGUUGUCGGUGAUCAGACUGUUGUGUCGUCAGCAAACUUAAUGAUGGUGUUGGAGUUGUGCCUGGCCAUGCAGUCGUGUGUGAACAGGGAGUACAGGAGGGGACUGAGCACGCACCCCUAGGGAGCUCCAGUGUUGAGGAUCAGCGUGGCAGAUGUGUUGAUACCUACCCUCACCACUUGGGGGCGGCCUGUCAGGAAGUCCAGGAUCCAGUUGCAGAGGGAGGUGUUUAGUCCCAGGUCCCUUAGCUUGGUGAUGAGCUUUGAGGGUACUAUGGUGUUGAACGCUGAGCUGUAGUCAAUGAACAGCAUUCUCACAUAGAUGUUCCUUUUGUCCAGGUGGGAAAGGACAGUGUGGAGUGCAAUAGAGAUUGCAUCAUCUGUGGAUCUGUUUGGGCGGUAUGCAAAUUGGAGUGGGUCUAGGGUUUCUGGGAUAUUGCUGUUGAUGUGAGCCAUUACCAGCCUUUCAAAGCACUUCAUGGCUACGGACGUGAGUGCUACGGGUCUGUAGUCAUUUAGGAAGGUUGCCUUUGUGUUCUUGGGCACAGGGACUAUGGUGGUCUGCUUGAAGCAUGUUGGUAUUACAGACUCAAUCAGGGACAUGUUGAAAAUGUCAGUGAAGACACCUGCAAGUUGGUCAGCACAUGCCCGGAGCACACGUCCUGGUAAUCCGUCUGGCCCCGCAGCCUUGUGUAUGUUGACCUGUUUAAAGGUCUUACUCACGUCGACUACGGAGAGCGUGAUCACACAGUCGUCCGGAACAGCUGAUGCUGUAAUAGUUUGCAAGCCCUGCUACAUCCGACGAGAGUCGGAGCCGGUGUAGUAUGAUUCAAUCUUAGCCCUGUAUUGACGCUUUGCCUGUUUGAUGGUUUGUCGCAGGGCAUAGCAGGAUUUCUUGUAAGCUUCCGGGUUUGAGUCCCGCACCUUGAAAGCGGCAGCUCUACCCUUUAGCUCAGUGUGAAUGUUGCCUGUAAUCCAUGGCUUCUGGUUGGGGUAUGUACGUACAGUCACUGUGGGGACGACGUCCUCAAUGCACUUAUUGAUAAAGCCAGUGACUGAAGUGGUGUAUUCCUCAAUGUCAUCGGAAGAAUCGCGUAACAUGUUCAAGUCUGUGAUAGCAAAGCAGUCCUGUAGUUUAGCAUCUGCUUCAUCUGACCAUAUUUUUAUAGACCGAGUCACUGGUGCUUCCUGCUUUAAUUUUUGCUUGUAAGCUGGAAUCAGGAGGACAGAGUUGUGGUGAGAUUUACCAAAUGGAGGGCGAGGGAGAGCUUUGUACGCGUCUCUGUGUGUGGAGUACAGGUGAUCUAGAAUUUUUUUCCCUCUGGUUGCACAUUUAACAUGUUGAUAGAGAUUUGGUAGAGCUGAUUUAAGUUUCCCUGCAUUAAAGUCUCCGGCCACUAGAAUCGAGGCUGUAUCACAUCCGGCUGUGAUUUGGAGUCCCAUAGGGUGGAGCACAAUUGGCCCAGCGUCGUUCGGGUUGUAAAUAAGAAUUUGAUCUUAACUGACUUGCGUAGUUAAAUAAAAAAAUAUAGGGUUAGGUUAUCACAUAAAGGAUUUAAGAAGUCUUCAUUAAGCCUUAGAAGUUAUGUUUAAUUUAAAGUACAUUCAACAGAUCAAGACCACAGAUCAGGUAUCAUUUUGUAGAACAUAUCGCAAAGGGAAGAUAUCAGCCUUCAAUUAUUUUAAUUGCUGUUAUGACUUUCUACGCUAAUAACAUUAACAGAUCAACUCAGACUUCAUUGUUCAAAUGAUAUGAAUAGACUGAUGCCAUGGUCUGAAAAGAGUGGCUGGGUUUUAAAUGUUUUAUUUGUCAGAGUCUUCUGGCGCUUGAUGGGAUCCAUUAAAAAUAAAAGGUACCUAUCGUAAUACCAAUGCACGGCUUGAUUGGCAGAAUGACAGGACUCAUUGUCCAAGAGAAACAGAGACAUAAUACAAGGGGGAAUGAGAUUGAUAUGGAGGGGCGAGACAGGAUGAAGUCAUUUGCAGACUGUGAUUAGAAGGUAAAGAAGGCUUUUUUUCUUUUAUUUUUUGUUCUUUUUUUCUCUUGAAACAUCUUUUUCCUGAUAGCUCAUUGCCCUGAAUGUCAUACCAGACUUAAAUGGAAUUUCUAUUGACAUUUCAGACUUUUCUUUUCAUUUUCUUUUUAAGUCUGUGCCAAUUUUGAGUUAAUCCAUAAUGCGGUCUCUUCUUUGUUUCAUGGCUUGAAGAAAAGACGUUGCACUCUUAAAGAAGUCUUCAGCAAGUAUUUAUUCAUGAUGCACAUUGCUGGGAUAGUUUUAACACUGAUUUCCAACGUGCACAAUUGGAACAUGUAGUAGGUGUUGUCUUCGACUGAACUAAUUAAGUCCCCCUUUAUCUAGCACUCCAUUGUUGUCACCCAUCAGGCAUUAUUGUUUGUGUGUUAUGUUCAGACGUUACUCUUGUUCCUGUGUCCACUCUAUGUUUGUUCUUAUUAAACUCACCGACUGCACCUGCUUCCUGGACUCCCGGUGUCUUCAUUACAGAAUGAUGCCUCACAGAAUGGAAGCAGCAGCCAACCGAAACAUCUCCCAGAUGGUCGGCAAACAGGGAGACCUACUUCAACACGCCACGACCAGUGGGCGCAACUGGGGACGGCUAUGGAUGAGGUCCUCCGUGUUCUUCAACAUCUAGAUCUUCCUCAAGGGGCAUCACCUCCUACGAGCGGAGGAUCUUCUAUCAUGAGUCGACCCAGCGAGCCAGCACCCCAGCCCAUUGUCCCUCAAAUAUGACCGGAUUCCAUCCAAAUGCCGUGGCGUCCUCCUCCUGUGCUCCCCCUAUUUUGCUCAUCAAACGGGAGCCCCGCACCAACGAGAGGUCCAAGGUUGCUGACCAGGCGGGCAUUGGAGUGGGCUACAGCCAUCUGGAGGACGUGGGUUCCUAUGGGAGGUUCAUGGCUCUGUUCAGAGGAGUCUUCGAUCAUCUACCGGAGGGCAGAGAGGGGGGUGAGCCCCUAUUCCGACUGCGGCAGGAGGACCAGACCGCUGCGGAGUAUGGUCUCACCUUCCAUACAGUGGCAGCAUCCAGUGGAUGGAAAGAGUCAGCACUCUGCACCUUAUUCAGAAGAGGACUGUGCGAGGAGGUCCAGACAGAGUAGGCAUGCCGAGACAACACCCUCUCAUUCGACACACUCAUUGCGAUGGCCAUCCGUCUGGAUAACCUCCUUUGGGAGCAUCUGCACUCCCAUCGCCUCUCUCCCUGCUUUGUUUACAGAUCUGAGUCACAGCCUGAACCCAAGGAGGUAGAGGCCACACGCCUCCCCGCGGCUGAGCGACGCAGUCGGAGACAGAUGGGGCUCUGUCCUUAUUGUGGUCAGGAAGGGCACCAGCUUCAACAGUGUCCACUUCGUACCAACACGGAAGCCACUAGAGCAGAGGGACGGCCCGUGAUCAUCCGUCUCCUGGGCUCUAGUGGACUCCGUUGCCGCUUGGAAUUUUAUUGACCAGGCCCUUGCCUCCUCCCUGAACAUAACAUCAUACCCGCUCUCCUCUCUGUUACCAGUUCAAGCGCUGGAUAACCGACCACUGGGAUCUGGGCCUAUCACACACAUCACAGCACCACUCACCAUUACUGUGGUACCCCUGCACCAAGAAAACCUUCCCUUCCUCAUCAUCCAGGCACCCGUACACAAAGUCAUCCUUGGCCUCCUGUGGCUCCAAUGCCAUGACCCCAUCACCUUCUGGUCGAGGAUGGAGAUCACGGCCUGGGCAUCCGGAUGUUGGAAGACCUGUUUUCCCUUACCCUGUGGUUCCACGUCGGUUGAGAGUCCUGUGGUUGCCAUGCCGGUGGACAUUCCGGAGGUUUACCAUGAUCUCAAGGAGGUUUUCUUCAAGACCCGCUCCACCUGUCUCCCUCCUCAUUGCCCCUGGGACUGUGUAACUGACCUGCUAACAGACUCUGAGCCUCUACGCAGCCGCAUCUACCCCCUAUCGGUGGCUGAAACAAAGGCUAUGAAGGAGUACAUCCAGGAGGCUCUCCAACAGGGUUUCAUCAGCCCAUCCAUCUCCCCUGCAUCGGCAGGUUUCUUCUGCGUGGCCAAGAAGGAGGGUGUCUUCGUCCAUGUAUUGACUACAGAGCUCUUAAUAACAUCACCACCAAGCUCCGCUACCCCCUCCUGUUGGUGCCGGCCGACAUUGAACAGCUCCACGGGGCCCAUUUUUUUAAAACUAAGCUGGACCUGUGGAGUGCCUACAAUUUGAUCCGCAUCCGGGAGGGGAAUGAAUGGAAGACGGCCUUCAGCACGAUGUCUGGGCACUACGAGUACUUGGUGAUGCCUUAUGGAUUAGCCAAUGCUCCAUCGGUGUUCCCGGCAUCCGUGAACGGGUUGUUUCAGGACAUGCUUGGGCAUCAGGUGGUCGUGUAUAUUGACGAUAUCCUGAUCUUCUCGGCCACCUUAGAGGACCACAUUGCCCACAUCCGGGUACUCCUGGAACGCCUCCUGGAGAAUCAUCUGUAUGUCAAAGCAGAGAAGUGCCAGUUCCAUCAGGCCUACGUCUCCUUCUUUGGAUAUCGGAUCAGCCCGCAGGGAGUGGUUAUGGAGGAGAGGAAGGUAGACGCAGUCAGGUCAUGGCCAGUCCCAACCACCAUAAAGGGACUACAAUGUUUUUUGGGGUUUGCCAACUUCUACCGCCGCUUUAUUAGGAACUUCAGCUCUAUUGCCUCUCCUCUCACAUCUUUUCUCAAAGGUGGACCCCGUAAGUUGGAGUGGAAUCCUGCAGCCUUCUGCCUACUGAAGGGGCGUUUCACCUCUGCCCAUUGUUGAAACACCCAGAUCCUAUGCUGUCCUUCAUGGUGGAGGUGGACACCUCAGAAGUGGGCGUAGGGGCCGUCCUGUCACAACGUCAAGUUAAAUCACAAAAAUUGUAUCCAUGUGCAUACUACUCUAAAAAAAAUGUCUCCUUCAGAAAGGAACUAUGACGUCGGUGAGCGGGAGCUCCUGGCGGUGAAUUUGGCAUUAAAGGAGUGGAGACAGUGGCUGGAGGGCACCACGGACCCGUUUCCCAUCCUCACCGACCAUCGGAACCUGGAGUACAUACGGAUAGCGAGGCGGCUGAACCCGCGCCAAGCAAGGUGGACCCUUUUCUUUACUAGAUUCAACUUCACCAUGUCAUACCACCCAAUGCCAAUGCCCUGUCGGGAGAAGUUCCAGUCCUGAGGGUGCCCAUCAUACCGCCCUCCCGAAUCAUUUCCCCCAUGCUUUGGUACAUAGACGUGGACAUCUGCCAGGCUCUGGAGAGGGAACCCGCGCCUGCUACGUGUCCUCCGGAGCACACCUACAUGGAGGUAAGGGUUAGGCCAUUGACCUGGGCGCACACAUCCCUUGACACUGGUCACCCAGGUAUCACCCGCACCACUCAAUCUAUCUCUGUUAAGUAGUGGUGGCCCACCUUGGCACAGGACGUAGCAUGCUACGUCAACUCCUGAUCCGUAUGUUCUCAAACCAAGUCUCCCCAGCAUGCUCAAGCAGGGAAACUCCUUCCCCACCCGUGCCUCAGCGGUCCCAUCUGCCUAUAGAUUUUGUUACUGAUCUUCCCGUCUGAUGGUUUCACCACUGUUAUGGUUGUUGUGGACAGAUUCUCCAAAUCCUGCCAUUUUAUCUCUCUCUGGUCUCCCUACCGCUCUCCAUGUUGCUGAGGAACUGUUCCAGCAGGUCUUCCGGCACGAUUGCCUUCCGGAGGACCGUCGUGAGUAUGAAGAGCCUUCAUGGAGAAGCUGGGGGUCAUGGUCAUCUGGGUACUGGCCUCAGUCCAAUGGGCAGGUGGUAAGGACCAACCAGGAGCUGGGGAGGAUCCUGAGGAGUCACUGUCAGGACCGGCAGAGGGAGUGGGCCCGGUUUCUUCCCUAGGCGGAGUACGCCCAGAACUCACUUUGUCCCUAUUCCACAGGGUUGUCUCUCUUCCAGUGUUUCCUGGGGUACCAGCCUCCCCUGGCCUCACGGGCCCCGAGCCAGACCGAAGCCCCUGCGGUGGACGAGUGGAGCAGGCGGACCGCCCCCGCAGUGAGGCACCGGUUUCCAUCCUGGUGAUUGCGUCUGGCUUUCCACCAGGUACCUCCCUCUCCGCCUGCCCUGCCGGAAGCUGAGCCUCUGGUUUGUCGGGCCAUUCAAAGUCCUCCGGCCGAUGGUUCCUGGUCCCCUGGCUGAUGCCGUCCACCACGACACCCCUCCGCCUCCCUUGGACAUUGAGGGAGGUCCCGCCUACGCUUUCAGAACCCUCCUGUACUCCAGAUGUCGUAAAGGUCGGCUCCAGUACCUGGUGGACUGGGAGGGGUACGGUCCAGAGGAGCGGUGUUGAGUUCCGGUGGACAACAUUCUAGAUCCCAACAUCAUCCGAGAUUUCCGUCUUUGUCGUCCAGACUGGCCCACUCCUCACCCUAAGGACAGUCCUCCUGGACGGCGUCGUCAUGAGGCUGGAGCAUGAAAACGAUGUAAACUAUAUGCCAUGGCCGUCUCAGUCACCAGAUCUCAAUUUUAUUUGAGGCCUUUCUCUGUUUUCACUGGAUGGGGAGCAAUGGUCCCUCCCUCUGGUGCUCAACGUCGCCGGUCCACUAACCACCUGUCCUGGCAACCCAUCAUUACGCACACCUGGCAACCUUCAUUACGCACACCUGGACUUUAUCACUUCCCUGAUUACUCCACCUUUAUCUGGCACUCUGUUGUCACCUAUCAGGAAUUAUUGUUUCUGUGUUAUGGUCAGACGCUGCUCUUGUUCCUGUAUCUACUCUAUGUUUGUUCUUAUUAAACUCACCGACUGCACAAGCUUCCUGACUCCAGGCAUCUUUGUUACAGCACCCAUGAACCCAACUGUUAUCACUUCAAUAAAGAAUACAUAAAACAAUAUGUAAAAACAUACAGUUGAAGUCGGAAGUUUACAUACACUUAGGUUGGAGUCAUUAAAACUUGUUUUUCAACCACUCCACAAAUGUCUAGUUAACAAACUAUAGUUUUGGCAAGUCGGUUAGGUCAUUUACUUUGUGCAUGACACAAGUAAUUUUUCCAACAAUUGUUUACAGACAGAUUAUUUCACUUAUAACUCACUGUAUCACAAUUCCAGUGGGUCGGAAGUUUACAUACACAAAGUUGAAUGUGCCUUUAAACAGCUUGGAAAAUUCCAGAAAAUUAUGUCAUGGCUUUAGAAGCUUCUGAUAAGCUAAUUGACAUCAUUUCAGUCAAUUGGAGGUGUACCUGUGGAUGUAUUUCAAGGCCUACCUUCAAACUCAGUGCCUCUUUGCUUGACAAUCCCCAGUUUACAAUUGGCUCAUUCAUCCCCUCCUCUCCCCUGUAACUAUUCCCCAGGUCGUUGCUGCAAAUGAGAACGUGUUCUCAGUCAACUUACCUGGUAAAAUAACGGUAAAAAAAAAAAAAAAAAAAAAAAAAAAAAAACAUCAUGGGAAAAUCUAAAGAAAUCAGCCAAGUCCUCGGAAAACAAUUGUAGACAUCCACAAGUCUGGUUCAUCCUUGGGAGCAAUUUCCAAACGCUGAAGGUACCACGUUCAUCUGAACAAACAAUAGUACGCAAGGAUAAACACCAUGGGACGACAUAGCCGUCACACCACUCAGGAAGGAGACGCAUUCUGUCUCCUAGAGAUGAACUUACUUUGGUGUAAAAAGUGCAAAUCAAUCCCAGAACAACAUCAAAGGACCUUGUGAAGAUGCUGGAGGAAACAGGUACAAAAGUAUCUAUAUCCACAGUAAAACAAGUCCUAUAUCGGCAUAACCUGAAAGGCCGCUCAGCAAGGAAGAAGCCACUGCUCCAAAACCGCCAUAAAAAAGCCAGACUACGGUUUGCAACUGCACAUGGGGACAAAGAUCAUACUUUUUGGAGAAAUGUCCUCUGGUCUGAUGAAACAAAAAUAUAACUGUUUGGCCAUAAUGACCAUCGUUAUGUUUGGAGGAAAAAGUGGGAGGCUUGCAAUCCGAAGAACACCAUCCCAACCGUGAAGCACGGGGGUGGCAGCAUCAUGUUGUGCUUUGCUGCAGGAGGGACUGGUGCACUUCACAAAAUAGAUCGCAUCAUGAGGGAGGAAAAUUAUGUAGACAUAUUGAAGCAACAUCUCAAGACAUCAAUCAGGAAGUUAAUGCUUGGUCGCAAAUGGGUCUUCCAAAUGGACAACGACCCCAAGCAUACUUCCAAAGUUGUAGCAAAAUGGCUUAAGGACAGCAAAGUCAAGAUAUUGGAGUGGCCAUCACAAAGCUCUGACCUCAAUCCCAUAGAAAAUGUAUGGGGAGAAGUGAAAAAGUGUGUGAGCAAGGAGGCCUACAAACCUGAGUCAGUUACACCAGUUCUGUCAGGAGGAAUGGGCCAAAAUUCACCCAACUUAUUGUGGGAAGCUUGUGGAAGGCUACCCGAAACGUUUGACCCAAGUUAAACAAUUUUUAGGCAAUGCUACCAAAUACUAAUUGAGUGUAUGUAAACUUCUGACCCACUGGGAAUGUGAAGAAAUAAAUAAAAGCUGAAAUAAAUCAUUCUCUCUACUAUUAUUCUGACAAUUCACAUUCUUAAAAUCAGGUGGUGAUCCUAACUGACCUAAAACAGGGAAUUUUUACUGGGAUUAAAUGUCAGGAAUUGUGAAGAACUGACUUUAAAUGUGUUUGGCUAAGGUGUAUGUAAACUUCUGACUUCAACUGUAUGAUUUAAUUGAGACAUUAAGUGAGCAAAAUUAAGUUAAACUCAACUAAUUUUUUAACUCAAUUACACUGACCUUUGGACCUUUUGACACUUGUAAUAUUUUGCCUAUAUGAGUCAUCUAUCUGAAGGACAGGUCAGCUGCACAUUCUGAGCUAUCUGAAAAUAAUAUUUGAAUGGAAUCAUUUUCAAUUUGAUCAAAACCACCCACACUGAAUAGAAGAGGCUGACCUAGUGUGUGGGUAUUGCUUUUUUCACUACAGCCAGUGUGUGGAACAGUGACCCCAAUCUAUGCACUCACUGACCCAGACGGGUCCACCACUCACCAUCCAUGCAGUGGAGCUUUCAUAAUAAGAGAAUGAAGGACUCGUGCUUAUGCAACACUAACAAUCAAGAAUUUGUUUCUUUGUUUAAAACACUCUUUCAUUGUAUUAUUGAUGAAUGAAUUUAACAUUUAGACAGAAAUGUGAUCCUCUUAUUCUUUAGGGAAGCCUGUUGAAUGUAAAGAAUACAUGUGACGCAUUGGUAGAAUGUCCGUAGAAUCACAUGAAGCUUGUAACAGCCAGAAAGGUCAUAUUUGUCCAAGUGAAAAUGUCCUGUUCAUUCUCCGUCGUCAAAGAGAUUCUUAAUAGGAAUAGCAAUGGUGUGAGGAAAUUAGGAUUUUCCUCUACUGCUAUCUGCUGAUGAAGCAUUGUAAUGAGUGGAUUAGGAACUUUCAGAUUCAGAGGCGUACAAUUUGGAUUAAAGGUGAAACCCUCUCAAAAAUCCUAAUUACCGAGUUUAAUUAGGAUUCCAAUAGGUUGGAUAUCAAGAGGGAUGGUAUGGAGGUGGGUUUUAAAUCGUUAUAAAGGGUAAGACAAUAUCCCCUUUGAGAUGCGUGAGUCACUUUCCCACCUUUUGACAUUCGGAACGGCUUACUUGCGUCAGUCAAAUUCAUAGCUGUUCAUGGGGAAAUAAAUUCCCACUGUGCAGUGUUUGUGCAGUAUGCUUAUUUCAGUUGAAGGUCUCAGGAAUUGUUCAGUUGAAUGAAGUGGCUCUGAAUGCCAUAAAAUUGUCAAUUUAAACCAUUAAUUGUCAAUAGAAUGGUACUCUGAGAGGUCCUCAGCAAUAGGCAGCAUUGUGGCAGCAAACGCUUAGUGUUUGGCAGUUAAUUGAAUUUUAUUGUCAGUCCAGAAUUCUCUGUGGAUGGUCUCACUGUUAGGGGUUCGCGAAAAAUCCUACCUACCUAUCUACCUACCUCCCUACCUAUAUGUCCUUAAAAGAAGGACAAAAACACUUCCAUCUGAUUGCUUUCUAAUUUUCUGCCUCAUUUAAUCCAAUGCUUUGGCCAAUCUGCCCUCUGCCAAUCGACGUCUAUAAUUUCUCUGGUAGCCAUUUCUCCUCUGUCCACUCAUCCACUUUUCUCUUUUUUAAUUCCUUGACCUUGUGCUUUCUGAGAAGCUGAUCCAGGAGCAUGUCGAGCCACCUGGAACCCCAGUGGUACUGUUGGAUCCCUCUUUGCCUUGCUUUCUCUCCCUCAUCCUCCCCCUUUCUUUCUCUGCCUCUCUUUGCCUCUCUCCC